GGGUCCAUGAGUGCACGUUCCCCACUUCACUCCCCUCUCCCCCCUCUUUGAUUCCCCAUCCACCGCCGCCUCCUCUCUCGCCUCACCGCCGGCCUCCUCUAUGCCCCUUCCUCUCCCUCUCGGACGAGGCCUAGCUAUGGCCACCCGUGCCGCAUCCUGCAUCUGGCGCGGGAGCGUGUGGUGGUGACUAGCCGAGCCGUCUCGCUGGUGGCUCGAGCACGGACCCUUGCGACGGCGUCCGGGCGAGGCCGGGCACAAGGCGGAGCUGCGGCCGGCGACCCGGCACCCGCGCUUGCCCGGCGGCGGGACCGUCUUCGUCGUGGCCGGUGGGAGAGUUGGGCGGCAGCAAGCGGUGCGGCGAGGGGAGGCGCAUGGGCGAGAGGGUGGGGCUCUUGCUAGCCGCUCUCCCGUCCCGUUGGUUUCUUGCGGCCACGGUGGCGUUUCUCAGAUCGAGCUGGAUGGCGCGACGGGGGCGUGGCACAGGGCCGUGAUGUGAUUCACCCUGUCCAGAGGGUAAUUUCUGCGUGUGAUUUGGGUAAGGAUCUGGGUGCUGUUCGUUUGCUCACUGUGUUUGUUCCUAGGUCGGCACCGCUGUUGUCACCGGCAGAAUGGCCGACUGGCCAUGGGCGGGCUCGGAGCCCUCUGCGAGCAGGUGAAGGAGCUUAAUUUCCAGGGGUAUGAGGUGAUUCUGGUCGCCUCCCGCGCCGCCGGCGUUGAGGCAGAGGCUCAAGUACGGAAAGCUCAUCAACAGCAGUUUCGCCGAUCUGCAGAACCCAUAGUUCGACCUGGAUGGGAAGGCAUGCGCUGCCGUCGGCCAGAGUGGCCUCAUGGCUAUCUACGAUACACUAUUUAGCCAGUUGGGUAAUUCUUCUGUUGCUUCACGGAUCUUCCUGCACGUUGUGUCUGUAUUACUGCCACUGAAGAUAUACCUCAACUGAAGAUCUAGCUUGUGACGAUGAUAUACCUAAGGUUAGUGUUAUUAUUACAUAUGGGGAGAGGUUUAUGAAAGCCUACUGAAACUGAUUAUUUGGUUACACUCACCACUUCCUUUGGACAGAAGUCGUUGUCUGAACGUACUGACCAUUGUGUUAUGCAGUGUUGGUCUAUACUUUAAUGCACCUGUGUUCACGCAUGGCCAGCUUUAUGUAGCAGUGUCGCGUGUGACCUCAAAAAAGGCUUUGAAAAUCCUGAUUGAACAUGAAGAUGGUACUACUGAUUCUCAGACCAGGAACACUGUGUUUCGUGAGCUCUUCCACUCCAUUUCUUAUAAUCCAUGCUGGUGGUGUCUUUUACAAUACAUGCAUUAUUCUAUUUACCCUGUUCGCUAUGGCCGGCCAGUCUGUUCUAGCUGAUUCAUGUGGUCGUCCGAUAUGUGUGGUGCCAACUGCCAUUUCUUUGCUAGCUGAUGUCCGUAGUCUUUUGGUUCAUACAGCUUAGUGCCUCAUAUAUGAAUGCUCUUUUUGGGUUCUUCAAUUUCUCUUACCCCCUAUCUUUUGCUGCUACACUGAUUAUACGCCUGUUCUACCCUGAUGCUCUUUCUUCAUGCUGGUCCUAUGUCACGGGUGUUAAUAUCUACUACCUAUUUACCGCUUGUUGUGCAAAAUCUUUAGGUUAUUGUAAAUCAUUCCCUGCUGUAUAAAGUUUGGUUUUAGUCUGUUGCAUUUUGUUGGUUCCUAUCUUGCCAAUGUCUACAGCAAUAUGCUUUCUUGAUAGCCUAUUUUGCUUCACAUUUUUUGGGUAUGCCACUUCUCUAAUGAGUGGGUGCAUCUCUUCUUUGUUUUAUCAUUCUAUAUUUUUUUCCUAACCUUUUUGGUAUUCUGCUUUCUCCUUGCAGAUGGCAAGCACCAUUUUGUUGGUUCCUGCCUUGCCAAUGUCUACAGCAAUGUGUGCGGCCUUUGUCUCAUCUGUGGCAUUACCGUGGGGCGUGGGGCGACUCAUAAUGGGCCUAUCAAGCAUACUGACCUUGUGAUGAUAGAUAAAGAGGUUGAUGUCAGUGCCAUUCAGAUAAAUAUAUUUUUAGCCCUUUGAAUUGAAAAAUGAGUGCUUCUUGGUUGUUUCUGUUGUUGGUCUAGAAGAUUCUUGGUGCUUCUUGGUGCUUUUACUACAUGUCCAGUAGUAUACUAUGCUAACCCACAUAAAUGACAAAGUCCUGCGCUAAUCCUUGUUGGCACUUAUUGGUGUGUUAACUAAAUGGUUUAGUCCCGCGCUUCAUAGAAGCAGUUUUAACUAAAUGUAAUGAACUAAUUAAGCGCCUUCUUUUAUUGUUGGCUAAUCCUUUGGUUUUA